rnacentral:rRNA from 1 species
GGAGUACUCCUACGGGAGGCAGCAGUGGGGAAUAUUGGACAAUGGGGGAAACCCUGAUCCAGCAAUGCCGCGUGGGUGAUGAAGGCCUUCGGGUUGUAAAGCCCUUUUGGCGGGGACGAUAAUGACGGUACCCGCAGAAUAAGCUCCGGCUAACUUCGUGCCAGCAGCCGCGGUAAUACGAAGGGGGCUAGCGUUGUUCGGAAUUACUGGGCGUAAAGCGCGCGCAGGCGGUUUCUCAAGUCAGUGGUGAAAGCCCCGGGCUCAACCUGGGAAUGGCGGUUGAAACUAGUCGACUCGAAUCUGGCAGAGGGGGGUGGAAUUCCCGGUGUAGCGGUGAAAUGUGUAGAGAUCGGGAGGAACACCGGUGGCGAAGGCGGGUCUCUGGGCAACUCCUGACGCUGAGGCGCGAAAGCGUGGGGAGCAAACGGGAUUAGAUACCCCGGUAGUCCUGGCCCUAAACGAUGAAUGCUUGGUGUGGCGGGUAUCGAUCCCUGCCGUGCCGCAGCUAACGCAUUAAGUCGUCCGCCUGGGGAGUACGGCCGCAAGGUUGAAACUUAAAGGAAUUGACG